CUCUUGGAGCGUGCUCGGGAUGUAGCCGGAGGCUUCUUCUCCAUCUUUGGACCCUCAGAACUUGUUUCUGCAGCCCAAUUUUUGAUGCGCUCCUUCACCCCUCCUAUACCGUUUAAGAUUUCCGGUUCGUCCCUCUUCGGCAUGGCCUCCGGCCUCGACGCAGAGUCAAACAGUUGACUGAUUCUGCGUUUUAUGCUGUUUCCCCCGGUGUAAUCCUCUUUCACUUCACCGUCAUCGCUCUCUUUGUUUGAAGGCUCUGGAGAUGCCUGCCUCUGCUCUGGCGAUGCCUGCUUCUGCUCUGGAGAUGCCUGCUUCUGCUCUGGAGAUGCCUGCUUCUGCUCUGGAGAUGCCUGCCUCUGCUCUGGCGAUGCCUGCUUCUGCUCUGGAGAUGGCUGCUUCUGCUCUGGAGAUGGCUGCUUCUGCUCUGGCGAUGCCUGCCUCUGCUCUGGCGAUGCCUGCUUCUGCUCUGGAGAUGCCUGCUUCUGCUCUGGAGAUGCCUGCUUCUGCUCUGGAGAUGCCUGUUUCUGCUCUGGAGAUGGCUGCUUCUGCUCUGGAGAUGCCUGCUUCUGCUCUGGAGAUGCCUGCUUCUGCUCUGGAGAUGCCUGCUUCUGCUCUGGAGAUGCCUGCUUCUGCUCUGGAGAUGGCUGCUUCUGCUCUGGAGAUGCCUGCUUCUGCUCUGGAGAUGCCUGCUUCUGCUCUGGAGAUGCCUGCUUCUGCUCUGGAGCAGGAGAUACUAGCCUAUUUGAACGCCCUUUGGUGUUGUAUGUGGAGAUAGCUGUGGUAGGCUGCGGGGGCAGAGACAGACCGCCUGACUCAAACUUUGAGGUGAGCUCCAUGGACAGACGCUUCCUAGCACCACCCCAACGAAAUGUUUCAUCGGUUGAAGAGGAACCAUCGCUGCCUGAGUGAUUCCGCAUUUUGACGACAGAAGCUUGAGUUUCAUCUUCCUUCGCUUUUCCGUCGUUCUGCUCUGAGUUACUUGCAACAUCUCCAGAAGCUUUGUGGUUUGUUUGGGUGAUGUCGUCUUUCUGGACAAGCUCAGAUUUCUUUGUCUCUUCGGGCUGACUGGUUUGUGAGGCUGUUUUUCCUACACUGGAAUCACGAGUUUCCUCUUUACCUGCCUCACUAGCUUUGGUUGUUGUUGGGUCACUUUUGGGAAGCUCACUUUGAGAGCCUGGUUUUGCAUUUGAGGUGACAGCCGGCUGAGAUGUUUUCUGAGCACGAGGGGUCAAAGUUGGUUUGGAGACACCUGUAGGCUCUGAUUUUUGAAUUUUCGAGGUAGCGGGGAGCGUCUUUGGGGCAUGAAUGGAGCGGAUGGUGGUGUUCUUCUGCACAGAGAAGGGCUUGGGAGCAAGGCCAGGUUUGGGGGCCAGUGGUGGCUUGGGGUUCGACGUAACACUAGUCUUGGAAGCCUCAACGGAGCUCUCCAUGGCAGAGUUG
ensembl:lncRNA